UUUAUGGAGAGUUUGAUCCUGGCUCAGGAUGAACGCUGGCGGCGUGCCUAAUACAUGCAAGUCGAGCGAACAGACGAGGAGCUUGCUCCUCUGACGUUAGCGGCGGACGGGUGAGUAACACGUGGAUAACCUACCUAUAAGACUGGGAUAACUUCGGGAAACCGGAGCUAAUACCGGAUAAUAUAUUGAACCGCAUGGUUCAAUAGUGAAAGACGGUUUUGCUGUCACUUAUAGAUGGAUCCGCGCCGCAUUAGCUAGUUGGUAAGGUAACGGCUUACCAAGGCAACGAUGCGUAGCCGACCUGAGAGGGUGAUCGGCCACACUGGAACUGAGACACGGUCCAGACUCCUACGGGAGGCAGCAGUAGGGA
rnacentral:rRNA from 1 species